rnacentral:piRNA from 1 species
AAAUUGGAAGGUGUAGUUAGGGU